ensembl:lncRNA
AAAAUUCCUUCCUGUCUAAUGCAGGAAGUGUUCAGCUCUGACCCAAGCAUGGCAAAGACAUUGAAUUUGCAAAACAGUACAAAACCCACCAACUUUUUGGCCGAAGACUCCUGAAUACUUUAUGUGCUCCCUGGAACUUGGCUUCUGCAGGACUCUUUAAAAUCGGAUAGUCCUGACUAACUGCAUUCUGUGCCUGAAGAACAGCUCUGACUGAAGGGAAGUGUUAAUGCAGUGAUAGAUGACUAGAACAUCUGUUAUCAACUUAUAUGAAUUUGAAAUCAUGACUUCUGUUGGAGAUAUUCUUUAUCCUAUUUUCCUUCUUUAAUAAUAUAUUUGGAACCAUCAUGAGGCCAAAUUGUGAAGCAGAGACUCACAGCUAAGACUUUGCCUGGGGUCUCAGAGGAAAUUUUGACCUGGAAUUUUAAAUAAUGCUGAAACUGUGGAGACCUUGAAGAAGACAUUAUUGUGUUUUUAUUUAUAUGCAAGAUCGAACUCAGGACAUUGAGCUUGGAGGCAGGCAUGGUGCCACUGAGCUACAUCCCGGCCCAUAGAUACCUGCUAUUGCCAGAAGAUCUAGCCCAGGCUAGCUUCCUGAAGGCUGAAAGAUCACAUGGAAGAGAUCCAAGUCAGGCCAAGGUUAUUCUCAGCGGUGUUUGGAUUCUUAGAUGAGAUUUGCCAGACUGGGAACUAAAGCACUUAGAACACUUUGGCAAGGCUUUGGAGCUGGAUUUCACUGUGCAACUGUGAAGCUGUUCUUGCAAAGGUUUGACAGGAAGAGACUUCAGUGCUGAGCCAGAAAAUAAGUGCAUCCAAAGAAGAGCUGACCCAUUAUUCAAGCAUCUCCAGUCUUCUUUGCUACAAAGAAGAUACUACACACCUGCUGCUACAGUUGUCUCUGGUUAAAAAACUCUUCCCUUCAAUUUAGGAAGCCUGACCAAGAGAUAAAUUAUUUCUCCUUGUCAAUGAACACACAUUUUUUAUUUGCUUAAUCCGAUACAAUUUCUUUCUCCUCAUCUCAUUUUUGAUUUUCCUUUCUUGGAGAAAAAUGAGAGAGGAAAAUGAGGUUUAGAUUAAGUAAACAGAUGCCAAACAUUUUGUGAGGCUGUUAUACAUUAGAUGUCCCAGCUACAACCUUUAUCUGUCUUUAUAACAUUGUAUUCAUGUGAAUAUUGAGUUACAUGGAUUCAUUUUGUAUGCCAUCGUAAAGCUGCAUCUUGAAGUCCUCUUCUCUUGGGAGAUCUUUGUGCAAUUUCCUUAUCAAUGUACAGCACUACUGAAAUAACUAUUUUAGGUGUUCUCUCAUGGACAGAUGACCCAGGACAGACACAGUCAUCUCACUGUGCUUUGUGUGAUUCAUCUGCAGUUCAAUUCUUUGGAGUUUCAGCUCUUAGCACAAUACCACUUCCUGUUUUUGAGAGGAGAAAUGGCAUAAAAAAUCACAUAAAAAGUCUUAUGAGGCCCUUGGACAUCAAAUAACUCUUGCAAAACAAAAUUUUAAUAAAUUAAGUGUAAAUGAAUCAGAAACAUGUGGGUUGAAUUUCCCUGGAAAUACCCAAGGGCUUAAAAAUUAAAAAAAAAAUUAAAAAGAAUUGCUUGGCAAAGAAUCUUGUGCAUUUUACUGAGCUCAAGCCUUUUGAAAAAGAGCAAAAGAAAACAGCCUUGAUUUGGUUGACUGAAUUAAGAAAACACUCCUGUACCCUUUAUUUAUUUUUAAUUCUACAAAAGUCAGAUUGAAGGUAUAAUUACGUUUCUUUUUGGGUGCCAAAUACAUCGAUGUUAGAGCAUUUUUCAAGUACAGUAACAUUUUGACUAACCAGAACCUCAAGUCAUGGUUGUCUUUUCAAAGGCAAUAGUGGCAGGCAAAGAAAAACUAAAAACUGUAGUUCAAGUAAAGGUCAUUAGAGCUGAGGUAAAGAAAACAUGGUGAUCAUUCAGUUCACUAACCAAGAGGAUCCUAACUGUAAAGGAACCCUGAGCCUUGGUAGUUAGCCACUGAACAAAGCACAAAAAGCAGUCAUGUGAAGACCAAAGCUCAGAAUGUAAGGAAAGUUGAAAUAAGUGGAAAAAUCUGUCUACUGAACGGAAGCUCUGGAAUAAAAGGAAAUGGCUGACCAAGGAAAAUAAAAGUUGCAAGAACUGAAAAAUUUAAAUAGCAGCUAGCAAUGGCCAAAAUGAAGCACAGGCAUAGGGAUUUGAAGGUUGGACACAGAAAAGCAAAACAAAGACCAAUAUUCACACCCCAAACCGUACUGUGAACACAAAG